CUUGACAGUUAAGACAGUUUACAUUUAAAUUCUGCCUUGACUUUCUGAACUGAAUGCAAGUUUUAAGAAUUAGCAGAUGUCAUGUGGGGGUGGCAGAAACCCAGGAGGACUCCUGUUCAAGUUUCUAGACAGAUUUAAGAAGUGCCAUGAUAGGAUUGGGGCAGAUGCAGUUGGGGUACAGUGGUGCUGUUCCACCCCCUUUGAUUCAUGGUCCAUCCAAAAUUUAAAAACAACUACUUGACAGUGACAGCAGGAAUUCUAUGCAGGCAGCAGAUACAGAGUGAAGGGAGAGAAAGGUGUGGUAAGGAUUUCCAGAAAGAAACACAAUACCUAAUCUGACGCUCAUGAAGUACCAACGUCAUAUACAGAUAAUCAGACAAAACAAGAAACAGCUGUGAUUUUUUUUUUUAACAUCAUAUAAAUGCGUCUCCUGCUUCAAAAGCUAUUACAUUAAUCAAACUAUGAAUAAUUUCUUCAACACAAAAGACUGAUGGUCAUGUAACCCAUGCAAAAAUGCAAUUUGAGGAAAAUGGAGAGCUAGCAAAUAAUAAUCUCCUAGCACAGAAAUACUGACUUAAACUAGUCAGUCCCACCCUCGCCCCUCCACCAUGUGAAUAUCAUACUGCCUUUUGGAAUAAAGUGAAUACAGGAGUUUGAAGUUGAUCAUUCUUUGCUUUUCUUCUCUAAAAGAUAUUGCAGUCUAGAAG